rnacentral:lncRNA from 1 species
UUUAACAACAACAUUUUCAUUAUUCCCACAAUUCAAUCAAAUUUCAUGGGUUUAAUAUAACAUUUUCAUCAUUCCCAUAAUUCAAUCAAAUUUCAUGGGUUUAUCAACUACAUUUUCAUCAUUCAGACAAUUCAAUCAAAUUUCAUGGGUUUAAUAAUAACAUCAUUUUCAUCAUUCACACAAUUCAAUCAAAUUUCAUGGGUUUAACAACAACAUUUUUAUCAUUCACAUAAUUCAAUCAAAUUCUAACGGUUUAAAAUAACAUUUUCAUCAUUUACAAAAUUCAAUAAAAUUUCAAUGCUUUACCAACAACAUUUAUACAAUUCAAUCAAUUUUUAUGAGUUUACCAACAACAUUUUCAUCAUUCACACAAUUCAAUCAAAUUUCAUGGGUUUAACAACAACAACAUUUUCAUCAUUUACACAAUUCAAUCAAAUUUCCUGGGUUCAACAACAACAACAUUUUCAAUAUUCACACAAUUCUAUCAAAUUUCAUUUGUUUAACAUCAACAUUUUCAUCAUUCACACAAUUCAAUCAAAUUUCAUGAAUUAACAACAACAUUUUCAUUAUUCCCACAAUUCAAUCAAAUUUCAUGGGUUGAACAACAACAUUUUCAUCAUUCACACAAUUUAAUCAAAUUUCAUGGGUUUAACAACAACUUUUCAUCAUUCGCAAAAUUCAAUCAAAUUUCAUGGUUUUAACAAGAUUUUCAUCACUCACACAAUUCAAUCAAAUUUCAUGGGUUUAACAACAACAACAUUUUCAUCAUUCACACAAUUCAAUCAAAUUUCCAUGGUUCAACAACAACAAAAUUUUCAAUAUUCACACAAUUCUAUCAAAUUUCAUUGGUUUAACAUCAACAUUUUCAUCAUUCACACAAUUCAAUCAAAU